GGAUAGCUCAGGCAGCACAGCAUGAAACUCCUAAUCUCAGCGUUGUGGGUUCGAGCCCCAUGUUGGGCA